AAUUUACUGCCACCGGGUAGGAAGCGUUACGCAUUCGUGUACAUAUCGUUAGGUCUUAGAAGAUAUGUACGUCGGGUGCUUAUUUUUU
rnacentral:ncRNA from 1 species